rnacentral:rRNA from 1 species
UACAGAGGUCUCAAGCGUUGUUCGGAUUCAUUGGGCGUAAAGGGUGCGUAGGUGGCGCGGUAAGUCGGGUGUGAAAUUUCGGAGCUUAACUCCGAAACUGCAUUCGAUACUGCCGUGCUUGAGGACUGGAGAGGAGACUGGAAUUUACGGUGUAGCAGUGAAAUGCGUAGAGAUCGUAAGGAAGACCAGUGGCGAAGGCGGGUCUCUGGACAGUUCCUGACACUGAGGCACGAAGGCCAGGGGAGCAAACGUG